rnacentral:rRNA from 1 species
CGGACGGGUGAGUAAUGCUUGGGAAUAUGCCUUAGGGUGGGGGACAACAGUUGGAAACGACUGCUAAUACCGCAUAACGUCUACGGACCAAAGGGGGCUUCGGCUCUCGCCCUUAGAUUAGCCCAAGUGGGAUUAGCUAGUUGGUGAGGUAAUGGCUCACCAAGGCGACGAUCCCUAGCUGGUUUGAGAGGAUGAUCAGCCACACUGGAACUGAGACACGGUCCAGACUCCUACGGGAGGCAGCAGUGGGGAAUAUUGCACAAUGGGCGCAAGCCUGAUGCAGCCAUGCCGCGUGUGUGAAGAAGGCCUUAGGGUUGUAAAGCACUUUCAGUAAGGAGGAAAGGUUAGUAGUUAAUACCUGCUAGCUGUGACGUUACUUACAGAAGAAGCACCGGCUAACUCCGUGCCAGCAGCCGCGGUAAUACGGAGGGUGCGAGCGUUAAUCGGAAUUACUGGGCGUAAAGCGUACGCAGGCGGUUUGUUAAGCGAGAUGUGAAAGCCCCGGGCUCAACCUGGGAACUGCAUUUCGAACUGGCAAACUAGAGUAUGAUAGAGGGUGGUAGAAUUUCAGGUGUAGCGGUGAAAUGCGUAGAGAUCUGAAGGAAUACCGAUGGCGAAGGCAGCCACCUGGGUCAAUACUGACGCUCAUGUACGAAAGCGUGGGGAGCAAACGGGAUUAGAUACCCCGGUAGUCCACGCCGUAAACGAUGUCUACUAGGAGCUGGGGGUCUUCGGACAACUUUUCCAAAGCUAACGCAUUAAGUAGACCGCCUGGGGAGUACGGCCGCAAGGUUAAAACUCAAAUGAAUU